GGUAGAGAAUACCAAGGCGCUUGAGAGAACUCGGGUGAAGGAACUAGGCAAAAUGGCACCGUAACUUCGGGAGAAGGUGCGCCGGUGAGGGUGAAGGACUUGCUCCGUAAGCUCAUGCCGGUCGAAGAUACCAGGCCGCUGCGACUGUUUAUUAAAAACACAGCACUCUGCAAACACGAAAGUGGACGUAUAGGGUGUGACGCCUGCCCGGUGCCGGAAGGUUAAUUGAUGGGGUUAGCUAACGCGAAGCUCUUGAUCGAAGCCCCGGUAAACGGCGGCCGUAACUAUAACGGUCCUAAGGUAGCGAAAUUCCUUGUCGGGUAAGUUCCGACCUGCACGAAUGGCGUAACGAUGGCGGCGCUGUCUCCACCCGAGACUCAGUGAAAUUGAAAUCGCUGUGAAGAUGCAGUGUAUCCGCGGCUAGACGGAAAGACCCCGUGAACCUUUACUAUAGCUUUGCACUGGACUUUGAAUUUGCUUGUGUAGGAUAGGUGGGAGGCUUUGAAGCGUGGACGCCAGUCUGCGUGGAGCCAUCCUUGAAAUACCACCCUGGCAACUUUGAGGUUCUAACUCAGGUCCGUUAUCCGGAUCGAGGACAGUGUAUGGUGGGUAGUUUGACUGGGGCGGUCUCCUCCUAAAGAGUAACGGAGGAGUACGAAGGUGCGCUCAGACCGGUCGGAAAUCGGUCGUAGAGUAUAAAGGCAAAAGCGCGCUUGACUGCGAGACAGACACGUCGAGCAGGUACGAAAGUAGGUCUUAGUGAUCCGGUGGUUCUGUAUGGAAGGGCCAUCGCUCAACGGAUAAAAGGUACUCCGGGGAUAACAGGCUGAUACCGCCCAAGAGUUCAUAUCGACGGCGGUGUUUGGCACCUCGAUGUCGGCUCAUCACAUCCUGGGGCUGAAGCCGGUCCCAAGGGUAUGGCUGUUCGCCAUUUAAAGUGGUACGCGAGCUGGGUUUAGAACGUCGUGAGACAGUUCGGUCCCUAUCUGCCGUGGACGUUUGAGAUUUGAGAGGGGCUGCUCCUAGUACGAGAGGACCGGAGUGGACGAACCUCUGGUGUUCCGGUUGUCACGCCAGUGGCAUUGCCGGGUAGCUAUGUUCGGAA
rnacentral:rRNA from 1 species